CGACCGGCGCACGGGUGCGUAACGCGUAUGCAACCUACCUGUAACAGGGGGAUAACACUGAGAAAUCGGUACUAAUACCGCAUAACACUAUGAGAGGCAUCUCUUGUGGUUGAAAGUUUCGGCGGUUACAGAUGGGCAUGCGUUGUAUUAGCUGGUUGGUAAGGUAACGGCUUACCAAGGCGACGAUACAUAGGGGGACUGAGAGGUUAACCCCCCCACAUUGGUACUGAGACACGGACCAAACUCCUACGGAAGGCAGCAG
rnacentral:rRNA from 1 species